rnacentral:tmRNA from 1 species
GGGAUAGUUUUGGUUUCGACAGGCUAAGGUUUGGCAAAGAUAGCAUGCCAUGGUUGCGCAUGUAAAAACGCCGAGGUUUAAAUUAACCGCAAACAACAAUUACGUAUACGCUGCUUAAUUAAGUAAUUAAUUAAAGCAAGCACUCACUUAGAAAGGUGUCUAUACUUUCUAAGAUGGGCAAGAUUGAUAGACUAUGGUAAUUAAGGGUUUCCUGACUUAAUUAUCUAAAUUUAAGGAAUCGUCUAUUAGUGUUUCGUUUACUUGUCACUAAUAGAUUAAAUGAUACAAGUAAAAUAAGCAUGUAGAAGUCGAUGCAGGAUCUAGUUUGGACAGGGGUUCGACUCCCCUCUAUUCCACCA